UGAGCCUGCUUCUGAAUUCAGUCUGUGC
rnacentral:piRNA from 1 species